CACGUAGGGCGCAAGCGUUGUCCGGAAUUACUGGGCGUAAAGAGCUCGUAGGUGGUUUGUCGCGUUGUUCGUGAAAACUCACAACUCAAUUGUGGGCGUGCGGGCGAUACGGGCAGACUGGAGUACUGCAGGGGAGACUGGAAUUCCUGGUGUAGCGGUGGAAUGCGCAGAUAUCAGGAGGAACACCGGUGGCGAAGGCGGGUCUCUGGGCAGUAACUGACGCUGAGGAGCGAAAGCGUGGGGAGCGAACAGG
rnacentral:rRNA from 1 species